GGUCCAGUGGUGUAAUGGUUAUCACGUCUCGCUCACAUUUUCCGAGGAGGCUCGGAGUUCGAUCCUCCGCUGGAUCA